rnacentral:misc_RNA from 1 species
ACACCUCAACUCCUCAUGGCUUGCCAUGAUGAGCUUGGACUUUGGGGGACUUGCUGGCCUGCAGUCAGCUCCUCUCAAAUGAAUCAGCUUGCCAGUAUUUGGUGGCACCACAGGUGUGAUAAACAUCUACUCUUGUGGUCCUCCACCAUGUAACCUUCAGUGAUGGAGGUUUGCUGGAGCUCACAGAUGUCUCUCUUCGGAGGACGACCCUUUGAAU